GAUUAUUGGGCGUAAGCGCGCGCAGGCGGUUUCUUAAGUCUGAUGUGAAAGCCCACGGCUCUACCGUGGAGGGUCAUUGGAAACUGGGGAACUUGAGUGCCGUAGAGAAAAGCGGAAUUCCACGUGUAGCGGUGAAAUGCGUAGAGAUGUGGAGGAACACCAGUGGCGAAGGCGGCCUUUUGGUCUGUAACUGACGCUGAGGCGCGAAAGCGUGGGGAGCAAACAGGAUUAGAUACCCUGGUAGUCCACGCCGUAGACGAUGAGUGCUAAGUGUUAGAGGGUUUCCGCCCUUUAGUGCUGCACCUAACGCAUGAACCACU
rnacentral:rRNA from 2 species